rnacentral:lncRNA from 10 species
CUUCAAGCUGCUAGAAGCUGGGCAGCGGGAUCACGAGUCCACCGGGAGAAAUGAACAACUCCAGACGCGUGGUCUUAAGAGCUGUACCACUCACCAUGAAGCUCUGUGGCUUCACUUCUGAAUCCAGGGAGGCCACGAACCCACCAGAAGGUAGAAACUGUGAACCCGUUCAAACAUCAGAAGGAACGAACUGGACACGUUGUUCUUAAGAAGUGUAACACUGAUCGUGAGGGUCUGUGGUUUCAUUCAUGAAGUCAGUGAGACGAGGAACCCACCAAUUACAGACACAGUAUGAUGAACCAAAAACCCCAACACUUCCCUGCCAUAAAACAGGAAUCAAAUGAGGCCAGUAACAAAGACAGUUUGAGUCCAGGGCACUGAGUGAAGGCACUAGAUAUGCUGGGACUCAUCAUUGCUUUGGAACAGGGACAGGAUCUGGGUACGAAGUUUCUACCGCUCUUGUGGUGGGGAGUUGGGUUGGGCAUCACUUUCAUACGGCGAGAGGAAACGGUGGUGUCAUCUAUGUUAGCACUGGCUGCAGUGGAGCUUAAAAAACAUGUUGCAAGCUCUCACAUGGGUUCAAGUCUGAAUUUCCACUGCUACGUGGUCUGAAAACUGCAAGCAGGAAUUUACAUUUAAAGCACAUGGAGUCUAUAGUAUCCCCAGGUACUUCAGAGAAGCAAAUAUCAAUACUCCCUCGAGGAGUAAGUCUUCAAACAAGGCUUCCAAGCACCCCACAGGGUUAGUGGCACCAACUUUUAACUACUGUAACUAAUAAGGAGAAGCCAAGGGUACAUAUGAAGAAGUUGUUUAUGAGCAUUUGCCAACAAAAAAAGACCUGCAAAGACGUCAGAUACUGUAAGAACAGAAUACAGAAUAUAAAAUGGGUAUUCUUAAUAUGUUUCAAUGAGUAAAGGCAGAAAUAAGGUGAAGAGUCAGGAUGAAGGGAUCACCGAAGAUGAGCAGACAAAUUUGGGCAAAACUAGAAAUGUAAACUAUAAUAAUUGAAGUAAAAAGAAAACUCAAUGGAAGGGUUAAAAAAUUGCUGGAGAUGAGAGAACAAUUAGUAAACUCAGUUAUUCAAAAAUUAUACUAUUACACAAAGAGAUCAAUACAUUAAAAAUAGAAAAGUUUAAGAGACAAGUAGAAAAUCCACCGUACAUAUAAUCAGAAUUUGAGAGGCAGAUUGUUGAAAAAAAAUGCAAGGAAUAAAUUUUUUUUUUUUUUUUUUUUUUUGAGAUGGUCUCACCCUGCUGCCCAGGCUGGAGUGCAGUGGUGUGAUCUCGGCUCACUGCAAGCUGUGCCUCCCAGGUUCAAGCGGUUCUCCUGCCUCAGCCUCCUGAGUAGCUAGGAUUACAGGCACACGCCACCACGCCCAGCUAAUUUUUGUAUUUUUAGUAGAGACAGGGUUUCACCAUAUUGUCCAGGCUGGGCUCGAUCUCCUGCCUCGGCAUCCCAAAGUGCUGGGAUUACAGGCGGGAGCCACUGCACCUGGCCAAAAUAUUUCAAGAAGUAAUGACCAGUGUUUCUGGAAUGAAUGAAAGACCCAAAUCCAUCGUGUGUCUUUCAUUCCAUUUGAUUUCUCAUUUGGUUUUUCUUUUUGCAGCUGGGAAGUUUCAGGGUUAUUGGCUCAUCAUAGUACCAAAUCAUGACAGAUCCAAAGAAAGACAAAUAAAAGCCAGUCAAUAUUAGGACAUAUUAACAGUGCAACAGCAGAACAACAUAAACAAUAAGGGAUCGUGAAAGAAGAGACACUUUGCCACCGGGCGUGGUAAAUAAGCAUAUGUAAAGAUGAUGUCAACAUCUUGUAUCACCAAGUAUUACAAAUUUUUAAAAAAGGAAAUAGCACUACACACCUAUUAAAAAGGGGAGCAGGCAGGGUGUGGUGGCUCAUGCCUGUAGUCCUAGCACUUUGGGAGGCCGAGGCCGGCAGGUCACUUGAGGUCAGGAGUUUGAGACCAGCCUGCCCAACAUGGAGAAACCCCGUCUCUACUAAAAAUACAAAAGUAUUCGGGCGUGGUGGCAGGCACCUGUAAUACCAGCUACCUGAGAGGCUGAGUCAGGAGAAUCGCUUGAACCCGGGAGGCGGAGGUUGUGGUGAGCUGAGAUUGCGCCACUGCACUGCAGCCUGGGCAACAAGAGCCAAACUCCGUCUCAAAAAAAAAAAAAAAAAAAAAAAAAAAGGGUGAGCAUCCCAAACACCAAUGCUGGCAAGAAUGUGUAGCAAUAGGAACUCUGAUUCAUUGUGCUGGGAGUGGAUGUACUCAUAAAAUGGUACUGAUACCAUGGAGGGCAGUUCGGUGGUUUCCUAUAAAACUAAACAUUCUUUUACUACAUAGUCCGGCCAUUAUGCUCCUUGGUAUUUACCCAAAUGAACACAUCAAUGUUUAUAGUAGCCUUAUUUGUAAUUGCCAAAGCUUAGAAGCAACUAAGAUGUUGUUCCUUAGGUUAAAAAAGAAAAGAAACUGUGGCACCUCCAGACAAUAGGAUAUUAUUUAGUGCUAAAAAUAAAUAAGCUACCAAGUGACAACACCACAUGGAGGAAUGUUAACUGCGUAUAAAUGACAGAAACAAAAACCAAUCCGAAAAGGUGAUGCACUGCAUGAUUCCAGUCAUGUGAUGCUUCGGAAAAGGCAAAACUAUGGAAAUGGUAAAAAGGUCAGUGGUUGCCAGAGGUUAAGGAUAAAGAGAGAUGAUUAGGUGGAGAACAGAAGAUUUUUAGGAUAGUGAAACCAUUUUGUCUGAUAAUAUAAUGGUGGAUAUGUGUGAUUAUACAUUUGUUAAAAACCAUGGAAUGUACAACCCUAAGAGAGAACCCUAAUAUAAACCAUGAAAUUUGAAUAAUAAUGAUGUAUCAUUGCAGGUCUGUAGAUUUGUCAAAUAUGCACCACUGUCGUGGGGGAUGGUAGUAGUGGGGUAGGUUGUGUGUGUAUAGGGACCAAGGGUAUAUGAGAACUCUCUGUACUUUCUGAUCAAUUUUGAUGUGAAGCUAAAACUGGUCUAAAAAAUAAAGUUUAUUAAAUUACAAAAAUCUAACAGGGUUAAAAGGAAAUGGGAAAAUUAAUUUAAAAAUGUAUAUGGGCCAGGCGCGGUGGCUCAUGCCUGUAAUCCUAGCACUUUGGGAAGCUGACACGGGCGAAUCAUGAGGUGAAGAGAUCGAGAUCAUCCUGGCCAACAUGGUGAAACCCUGUCUCUACUAAAAAUGCAAAAAUUAGCCAGGCGUGCUGCAAGGUGCCUGUAGUCCCAGCUACUCGGGAGGCUGAGGCAGGAGAAUCACUUGAACCCGGGAGGCAGAGGUUGCAGUGAGCCGAGAUCGCACCACCGCACUCCAGCCUGGGUGACAGAAUGAAACUCCAUCUUAGAAAAAAAAAAGAAAGAAAAAACAUGUAUAUGGCAGCAUAAAUAUCAAGAACAAAUGGGAGAAACUCUUCAAGUGGAAUGAGGUGGGAACAUAUCCUUCCUCAGACAUCAAGACGCAUUAUAAUCCAUAGACUAUAAGACAGUGGCACUAGCACAACAAUAGACCAACAGAGAAAAGAAAUUUGUUAGAUUGUCUGGAAAUAACACAGUGAAAGUGUGGAGGUUUGAUAAGUGGUGAAAUUAUCCUGUAUGUGAAUGGGGAUAAUAUGCGCUAGUCCAUUGAAUUAAUCGUCUCUCUCUGACUGUUUCUCCCUCUCACUUUCUUUCUGUGUGUGUGUGUGUGUGCAUACAUGAGUGUGUGUGCAUGCGUGUUUGAUGGGGACAGGAGGCAGGGAAACGCUGGGUAGAAGAAGGUGGUUCUUCAGCAAAGGCCCCACCUUCAAGCCUGGAAACUGUGGCUCUAAAUGAAAACAGUUAUCUCUGUUUUCCCGUCCAAUUGUUGCUUUAUUCAAAACCACCCUGGCCCGCCACCCUCAUGCCCCUCCCCCCCUGACCCCGCAUCCUGUACUCAUAAAACCCCCAAACCCCAGGUUCAAUGAGCAGGAGGGCGGCACAGCAGCAGAGCAGCAGAGCGGCAGAGUGGAGAAGGAGAGAAGAGAAGUGUCUGAACAUGGGGAGGAGUUUGGCUGGGGGCGGUCAUAGAAGAGAUUCGCCAUGAGAUGGCUGAACUCCAGGGGACAAUCAUCUUCCCACUCCAUCCCCUCUCCACCUCCCCAUCCCACUGAGAGCCACCUCCACCUCUCAAUGAAAUCCCUGCAUUCACCAUUCUUCAAGUCCAUGUGACCUGAUUCUUCCUGGAAGCUAGACAGGAAUUCAGGAUUCCUGUACCAAUUCCAUUGGGUACAGGAACCAAAAAGACUGUCACGUUGACUCUUCACUGAGCUGUUAAACACUUUAGCUUUCCCUGGGUGGCAGGGCUAAAGGACAUUGUAAUACCCCUAGCCACUGCUGGGGGGUCAGAGCCCAAAUGUGCUCACCCCAGCUCACCUGUGUGCUCUCCCUCCCUUAAAGGGUUUGAACACGCACCAGCCGAAUAAAUGAGCCACAUGCCAUCACAUGUUCCGCGAGGGGUCAGAGAACUCUCCUGUUUCAUGUUGACGGAUGUUGUAAGCAUUAAUGGUUUUAAAUGCAAAAGGAAAACUCGGAAAUGUUAAAGAUAGUAUAGAAUAAUUUCAUUAUGGCCUUUGAAUAGGAAAGUAUUUCUGAAACAGCAUGUAAGAUGUACAAGCCACAAAAACAUCUUGAUAAAUUUGACUACAUUAAAAUUAAAAACUUCUUUUAAUCGAAAGAUACAAUAAAAAAAGCAUAAGUGAUACACAUGCAGGGAAAAUAAUUUUUUUCUUUUUUUUUUUGUGAUGGAGUUUUGCUCUUGUUGCCCACGCUGGAGUACAAUGGUACGAUCUCGGCUCACCGCAACCUCCCUGUCCUGGGUUCAAGCGAUUCUCCAGCCUCAGCCUCCCGAGUAACGGGGAUUACAGGCAUGCGCCACCACACCCAGCUAAUUUUGUAUUUUUAGUAGAGACAAGGUUUCUCCAUGUUGGUCAGGCUGGUCUCGAACUCCUGACCUCAGGUGAUCCACCCGCCUUGGCCUCCCAAAGUGCUGGGAUUACAGGCAAAAGCUACCAUGCCUGGCCUAAUUUUAAAAAAUACAUGAAAUUAAUGAAGCAUUAUGAUCCAGAAUAUAUAAAAGUAUAAUAUAUCAGUAAAUCAACAAAAAUGGGGAAAAGAUGUGAAAAAAUUUCACAGUAGAGGAAAUAACCUGUUAGAAAAAUCUGUAAAAGGUACUAACAAGUACUUUACAGAACAGGAAUAUAAGUGGCCAGUAGAUAUAUAUAAAAAGAUUCUCAAUUCGUAAUAAUCAGUAAAAGGCAAUUUAAUAUUUAAUGAAAUCUCAUGAUACACCUAAUACAUAGGUAAAUAUGACCAGGAUAUAGAACAAGGAUGUCCCUGGGGCAGUUGCUAAGAGUGUGAAUUGGUGCAAUGACUUUCAAAAUCAAUUUGGCAUUAUCUUGUAAACUGAAUGUGAGUAUGCCCAAUUCUAGUAUGUGCUGUAGGAAAAAUGUCUACCCCUUUGCACAAGGAAUCAUACAAAAUAAUGUUUCUAGGAGCAUUGUUAAUAAUAGCAAAAGACAAGAACAAAACCUUGCAAGUAACCAAAUGUCUAUUGGGUCUAUUUGUGGGAAAAUGGAUAAAGAAAUUGAGGUUUAUUCAUGAAUUGGACACUAUAUAAUGGUGAAAAUGAAUAAACUUGAAUUACACAUGUCAGGGUGAUCGAAACUCAGAAAGUUAAUACAUUGUGGAAGCAAGUUGUGGAAAGAUAUGCAGCAUGAUACUGUAUUAUAAAUUCAAAGCCAAGCACACUAGGCAGUGUAUUAACAGCUGUGCAACACGUAUGUGAAUGGAACUCUUGGAGAAAACCCAGGGCCAGGGAUGAAGUAACAGAAGCGAACAGGAGCUUCAGAGAUAACAGUGACGUUCCAUGUCUUAGUGUGGGUGAAGGGGUCAAUGGUGUUUGUUUCAUGAAAAUCUAUCUCUAUCUGCUAUCUGUCUGUCUGUCUGUCUAUCUAUCUAUCUCUCUAUCUAUCUAUCUUCUAUCUAAUCUUAUCUAUCCAUCCUAUCUACAGAUGUAUAUGUUUGUGUGUAUAUAAAUAUACAUCUGUCACAAACAUUCUCUUAUGUGUAUCAAAUAUUUUCAUAAUAAAAACAUUUACAAAAUCUCCUACUCUUUCUAGUCCUGUUAUUCCAUAGUUUCCCCUUCUGUGUCUUGUUUUGUAAACUUAAUGUGUGGGCCAGGUGCAGUGGCUCACGCCUAUAUUCCC